rnacentral:rRNA from 1 species
UUGGAGGGCAAGUCUGGUGCCAGCAGCCGCGGUAAUUCCAGCUCCAAUAGCGUAUAUUAAAGUUGUUGCAGUUAAAAAGCUCGUAGUUGAAUUUCGGGAUUAGUACGUUGGUCGUGCCUUCGGUACGUACUGGUGUUACUGAUUCCUACCUUCUGACGAACCAUCAUGUCAUUAAUUUGGUGUGGUGGGGAAUCAGGACUGUUACUUUGAAAAAAUUAGAGUGUUUAAAGCAGGCUCGCGCUUGAAUACAUUAGCAUGGAAUAAUGAAAUAGGACGUUGACCCUAUUUUGUUGGUUUCUAGGAUUGACGUAAUGAUUAAUAGGGAUAGUUGGGGGCAUUAGUAUUCAAUUGUCAGAGGUGAAAUUCUUGGAUUUAUUGAAGACUAACUACUGCGAAAGCAUUUGCCAAGGAUGUUUUCAUUAAUCAAGAACGAAAGUUAGGGGAUCGAAGACGAUCAGAUACCGUCGUAGUCUUAACCAUAAACUAUGCCGACUAGGGAUCGGACGAUGUUAACUUUUCUUGACUCGUUCGGCGCCUUACGGGAAAC